UAUAUAGCCAACUAAUCUGCUUAUCUGAAUGUGUUUCUGCAAAAAUUUAGGAACAGCUGGAAAUAGUCAUGCCAUUUUACAAGGCAUCAGGACAAAUGAGGUCAUUAGUGUCCCUCCAAAUUGCUACAAUA
ensembl:snoRNA